UCACAGCCUCAGCCCAAAAUUUCAUUCC
rnacentral:sRNA from 1 species